rnacentral:rRNA from 1 species
AAUGAACGCUGGCGGCAUGCCUAAUACAUGCAAGUCGAGCGAACGGACGAGGAGCUUGCUUCUCUGAUGUUAGCGGCGGACGGGUGAUUCACACGUGUAUAACCUACCUAUAAGACUGGGAUACCUUCACGGAACCGUAGCUAAUACCGGAUAAUAUUUUGAACCGCAUGGUUCAAAAGUGAAAGACGGUCUUGCUGACACUUAUAGCUGGCUCCGCGCUGCAUUAGCUAGUUGGUAAGGUAACGGCUUACCAAGGCUACGAUGCAUAGCCGACCUGAGAGGGUGAUCAGACACACUGGAACUGAGACACGGUCCAGACUCCUACGGGAGGCAGCAGUAGGGAAUCUUCCGCAAUGGGCGAAAGCCUGACGGAGCAACGCCGCGUGAGUGAUGAAGGUCUUCGGAUGGUAAAGCGCUGUUAGUAGGGAGGAAGAAAAGUGUAUGUAACUGUGCACAUCUUGACGGUACCUAAACAAUAAGCCCCGGCUAACUACGUG